rnacentral:rRNA from 1 species
AGUGGCGCACGGGUGAGUAACGCGUAAGUAAUCUACCCUGAUAUCUGGGAUAACCCACCGAAAGGUGUGCUAAUACCGGAUACGCUGAUUUAUCAGGAAAGGUGGCCUCUUCUUGAAAGCUACUGUAUUAGGAGGAGCUUGCGUACCAUUAGCUAGUUGGUGGGGUAAUGGCCUACCAAGGCGACGAUGGUUAGCGGGUCUGAGAGGAUGAUCCGCCACACUGGAACUGAAACACGGACCAGACUCCUACGGGAGGCAGCAGUGAGGAAUAUUGCGCAAUGGGGGAAACCCUGACGCAGCGACGCCGCGUGGAUGAUGAAGGCCUUCGGGUCGUAAAAUCCUGUCAGAUGGGAAGAAAUGCUACAUGGUUAAUAUCUGUGUAGUUUGACGGUACCAUCAAAGGAAGCACCGGCUAACUCCGUGCCAGCAGCCGCGGUAAUACGGAGGGUGCAAGCGUUGUUCGGAAUUACUGGGCGUAAAGCGCGCGUAGGCGGCUUUUUAAGUCAGAUGUGAAAGUCCAUGGCUCAACCAUGGAAGUGCAUUUGAUACUGGGGAGCUUGAGUACUGGAGGGGAUGGUGGAAUUCCCGGUGUAGAGGUGAAAUUCGUAGAUAUCGGGAGGAAUACCGGUGGCGAAGGCGACCAUCUGGCCAGAUACUGACGCUGAGGUGCGAAAGCGUGGGGAG